AACCCUGAUGCAGCUAUACCGUGUGUGUGAAGAAGGCCUUAGGGUUGUAAAGCACUUUCAAUGGGGAAGAAUUUAAUAUUGCUAAUAUCGAUAUUAAUUGACGUUACCUAUAUAAGAAGCACCGGCUAACUCCGUGCCAGCAGCCGCGGUAAUACGGAGGGUGCAAGCGUUAAUCGGAAUUACUGGGCGUAAAGAGUACGUAGGUGGCUUGUUAAGUCAGAUGUGAAAUCCCUGAGCUUAACUUAGGAACUGCAUUUGAAACUAAUAAACUAGAGUUUCGUAGAGGGGGGUAGAAUUCCAGGUGUAGCGGUGAAAUGCGUAGAGAUCUGGAGGAAUACCAGUGGCGAAGGCGACCCCCUGGACGGAAACUGACACUCAGGUACGAAAGCAUGGGGAGCAAACAGGAUUAGAUACCCUGGUAGUCCAUGCCGUAAACGAUGUCGAUUUGAA
rnacentral:rRNA from 1 species